GAUGAAGAACGUAGUAAAAUGCGAUACUUGGUGUGAAUUGCAGAAUCCCGUGAACCAUCGAGUUUUUGAACGCAAGUUGCGCCCGAAGCCUUUUGGCCGAGGGCACGUCUGCCUGGGCGUCACGCAUCGCGUCGCCCCCCACAAUUCUCCGUAAAGGGAACAUGUGGUUUGGGGGCGGAUAUUGGUCUCCCGUGCUCAUGGCGUGGUUGGCCGAAAUAGGAGUCCUUUCGAUGGACGCACGAACUAGUGGUGGUCGUAAAAACCCUCGUCUUUUGUUUCGUGCUGUUGCUCGCAAGGUAAACUCUUUAAAAACCCCAAUGUGUCGUCUCUUGACGACGCUUCGACCGCGACCCCAGGUCAGGCGGGACUACCCGCUGAGUUUAAGCAUAUCAAUAAGCGGAGGA
rnacentral:misc_RNA from 1 species